rnacentral:rRNA from 1 species
GAUGAACGCUGGCGGCGUGCCUAAUACAUGCCAGUCGAGCGAACAGAUGAGGAGCUUGCUCCUCUGACGUUAGCGGCGGACGGGUGAGUAACACGUGGAUAACCUACCUAUAAGACUGGGAUAACUUCGGGAAACCGGAGCUAAUACCGGAUAAUAUAUUGAACCGCAUGGUUCAAUAGUGAAAGACGGUUUUGCUGUCACUUAUAGAUGGAUCCGCGCCGCAUUAGCUAGUUGGUAAGGUAACGGCUUACCAAGGCAACGAGGCGUAGCCGACCUGAGAGGGUGAUCGGCCACACUGGAACUGAGACACGGUCCAGACUCCUACGGGAGGCAGCAGUAGGGAAUCUUCCGCAAUGGGCGAAAGCCUGACGGAGCAACGCCGCGUGAGUGAUGAAGGUCUUCGGAUCGUAAAACUCUGUUAUUAGGGAAGAACAAAUGUGUAAGUAACUAUGCACGUCUUGACGGUACCUAAUCAGAAAGCCACGGCUAACUACGUG